UUUGGUAUUAGUAGGCGACGCAUUGCUGCAAUUAAUUGUUAGCUGGAUAUAUAAAUAUUAUAUACAUACGCUAUAUAAGUGCACAAGUUCCAUUCGCUUGACCUUUUCAAUAUAAAGUAAAUAAUCUGUGCUCUUUAAACAUUCAAGGACAUUACCAUUGCCAAAAAAAAGAAGAAGAAUCGCAGCUUACAUAUACUUCUCUUGCCCUAAAAGCCAAGCCAACUGGAAAUUCGUAGAUAAGCGGAACACAGCAUAAAGUCAGAGCAAUACGCAUCGUUGUUAUUUAUUGCAAUGUUUCCUGCAUGCGCGCCUAAGAAAGCCAGCUAAUUUUUAUUGGCAAAUGUAAAGAAAAUGUCAUUAGACUGUGAUGUAUAGGAAAAUGAAGUGUGUGACAGAUACAAUAGGACAGAUACAAGACAAUAUCAGCUUGGAAAUAACCAUAAAGUAGUUUAGCGUAUUUUCUCAUGGGCUGUAAAUCUAUCUAUGAUAUAUCUUAAAUAUAUUUUAAAUUUCCA